CGCUGGCGGCGUGCCUAAUACAUGCAAGUCGAGCGAAGUUACUACUUGAAGCCUUCGGGUGGACGGUAAUAAACUUAGCGGCGGAUGGGUGAGUAACACGUAGGCAACCUACCUGUAAGACUGGGAUAACUUGUGGAAACAUAAGCUAAUACCGGAUGUGACGUAGAAGGCGCCUGUCUUUUACGUGAAAGGCGGAGCAAUCUGUCACUUACAGAUGGGCCUGCGGCGCAUUAGCUAGUUGGUGAGGUAGGAGCUCACCAAGGCGACGAUGCGUAGCCGACCUGAGAGGGUGAUCGGCCACACUGGGACUGAGACACGGCCCAGACUCCUACGGGAGGCAGCAGUAGGGAAUCUUCCGCAAUGGACGCAAGUCUGACGGAGCAACGCCGCGUGAAGUGAUGAAGGUUUUCGGAUCGUAAAGCUCUGUUGCCAGGGAAGAACACUUAGGAGAGUAACUGCUCUUAAGUUGACGGUACCUGAGAAGAAAGCCCCGGCUAACUACGUGCCAGCCGCUGC
rnacentral:rRNA from 1 species